rnacentral:rRNA from 1 species
AGAAUCUGCCUUGGGGUCGGGGACAACCACUGGAAACGGUGGCUAAUACCGGAUAAGCCGAAUGGUAAAAGAUUUAUUGCCCUAAGAGGAGCUCGCGUCUGAUUAGCUAGUUGGUGAGGUAAGAGCUCACCAAGGCAGCGAUCAGUAGCUGGUCUGAGAGGACGAUCAGCCACACUGGGACUGAGACACGGCCCAGACUCCUACGGGAGGCAGCAGUGGGGAAUUUUCCGCAAUGGGCGAAAGCCUGACGGAGCAAGACCGCGUGAGGGAGGAAGGCUCUUGGGUUGUAAACCUCUUUUCUCAGGGAAGAAGCUCUGACGGUACCUGAGGAAUCAGCCUCGGCUAACUCCGUGCCAGCAGCCGCGGUAAUACGGAGGAGGCAAGCGUUAUCCGGAAUUAUUGGGCGUAAAGCGUCCGCAGGUGGCCAUUCAAGUCUGCUGUUAAAGCACGGGGCUUAACUCCGUUAAGGCAGUGGAAACUGAAUAGCUAGAGUGCCGUAGGGGUAGAGGGAAUUCCCGGUGUAGCGGUGAAAUGCGUAGAGAUCGGGAAGAACAUCGGUGGCGAAAGCGCUCUACUGGACGGCAACUGACACUCAGGG